rnacentral:rRNA from 1 species
AACGAACGCUGGCAGCAUGCCUAACACAUGCUAGUCGAACGAGAUCUUCGGGUCUAGUGGCGCACGGGUGCGUAACGCGUGGGAAUCUGCCCUUUGGUUCGGAAUAACAGUUGGAAACGACUGCUAAUACCGGAUGAUGACGAAAGUCCAAAGAUUUAUCGCCAGAGGAUGAGCCCGCGUAGGAUUAGCUAGGUGGUGUGGUAAAGGCGCACCAAGGCGACGAUCCUUAGCUGGUCUGAAAGGAUGAUCAGCCACACUGGGACUGGGACACGGCCCAGACUCCUACGGGAGGCAGCAGUGGGGAAUAUUGGGCAAUUGGCGAAAGCCUGAUCCAGCAAUGCCGCGUGGGUGAUUAAGGCCUUAGGGUUGUAAAGCUCUUUUACCCGGGAUGAUUAUGACAGGACCGGGAGAAUAAGCUCCGGCUAACUCCGUGCCAGCAGCCGCAGUAA